AGCGCAAAAUGGCGGCGGGGGCUGUCGGGGGCGGAAGUGAUUUUUGGGAUCAUUGCGCGCAGCCGGCAGCAACUGUAAUUCAAGCCUCGAAACCACUAAACUACAUCACCCAGCACCAAGUCCAGGCGCCUCUUAAACAAGCACCUGCAGGGUUGGUGACUCCACCACUUCUGUCGGCAGCGCAUUCCAAUGUCUGGCCACCAGACCAGUUGAAAAAAAAUCUUUUUUCCUGCUGUCUGAUCCCAGUCUGCCCUGUCGCAGUUUGAGGCCGUUUUCUCAGGUCCCCCCACUGCAGGCAGGGUAGAUCCAGUUGCUCAAUGAGAACGAUGGGGUCCCUCUGAGCCUCCUCCAUCCUAAACUGCCCCUGCUCCCUCAGCCGCCCCUCAUGAGCGUGUGGGGAAAAGCCAUUUUUGGGGCUGCCAGAAGGUCCCUUUUAGUAGGCCUUUUGUAUUAAAUGUUAACUGUAAAACACAACUGUUUCCUUUCUUUUUUGCUGCUAAACCAGGACUGAUCAGGGUGAUGACAUACACAUAUUUUUUCCCCUUGUAUGAUUUGACAUAUGAGCGUGUGAUCAUUUUCAGUGCUGGGCCUGGCUAAAUGUGACUGUAAAACCGCAAUGAAUGGCUUGAAAAGUCUUGAAAAGGAUUCCAAGGAUGCAGAUUUCCUGACCUGUGCAGCAGAUACACAAAAAUAUCUUAAUAAACUCAAGGUUUAUUGCUGCUGCGGCUCCUGGUGCUAACAGUUGUUAUCUUUGCUCCUUCAGGCCUCUCCCCAGGGAAAGGUUCCCUCAGGAAAACUGCUAGAGCUGCUGGUUGUCUUUUCUUCUCCCAAACACCCUUGGCUUAGGCUGGAGUCUCAGCUAUAACCUGUGAAAGAAAUCGAAGGGAACCUGUCCUUAUUUUUCUGGCAUAUUUGUGAGAGCAUGUAUAAAGUGCCAAGGCUUGGGAGGAAAGAGAGAUGAUACUUCUCAGUUCCAGUAAGGCACGGCUGAAAAAACUGAUCUAAUGAAAGACCAGAAGAAUGCUGUGGGGUGCAGAAGCCUUGUGAAGCUGUAGAUCAUAGGUUUUUGAAUCUUCUUUGGUAAUUCUGUGUGGAAGCUGUCAGGCGUGGGGCACUCCAGCAUGUUUAGAGCUCCUACACAUUUCCAAAUUGAGAACUGCGACAGUGUCAUCUUAGCAAGAGAAAAGCUCCCUCCUGUGGAAGACAUGAACCUCUGCUGUGACAAGGAGCAACCAUAAGGGCAUCACACCGUGAUUUUAAAUUAGCAGGAGAAAGGGUUACAAGCAUCGUGGGACUUUGCAAAUACUGGAAUGCAAAACCUGUUAUUGUUUUUCUCAAAGUAAAUUUUUCAUGUUUUGUAUUAUUUAACUGAGAUACAGUUUUAGAAAUAACUGUUUGCUGUAAGUAAAACUGCAUUAUUUGAGUACUAUAAUGUGGCCACAGUGGACUCUGUAAUGUUAAAGGGAUCUAAAGCAGCUGAUAUGUUUUCAGAUUUUGCUUUCUUUCAGCUCUUUGCUGAAACAACAUAGUGUUUUGGACAUUUAUAUCAAUUUGAGUUUGUAGCGCUUACUUUUAAAAAAAUUAGUUUUCUUUUCCCUAUUUUAAAAAAGUUUGAUAAUCUGUAUAUCUAAAAGAUCUGUAUUAAAACAAUUUUGAAUCUUGUGAUUGGUGGUCCUUGAGCUCAAAGCCUUGUGUGACUUGGAAAAUAAAACAGCAUAGGAAGCAUAAAGAUGAAAUUGUGAUGGAGGGGCUGGAAGUAGAACUUGAUAUAAAAUUCCUGCUAGAAACAGUAUUUUUACCUUUGAGCUGAAUAUGAUUCAUGCUUGUGAUCUGAAGGUAGAAGGCUCUAGCUCAUUAGCACAUUAACAAAACCCUGAGGCAUUUGCUUCCAUAAAUGCUAAUGUUAUUCCCCUGAGAAUGAAGCUCUUUUGGGGUGGGGGAGAUGGAUCUUUAGUAUUCCAGUGGAGUUUGAAUUUUACCAAUUCCAAUUCAUUGCCAGCUAGAGCGGACUGAGACAGCACCGAGUGCUCUGACCCACUGCAAAAAACUUAUUUGGGUAUUGGAAUCGUGUGCAUUGGCCAAAUGGUAAAUUGUCAUCUUGUUCAAAGAGAGCUGGGUUCUAGUUUGUGGCACAUAGCAGCAUAACUUUGAUUACAAAAACAUGAGAUUAGCAAUGGUAUGGAAUGGUGAAGUGAGAUUUGCUUCUGUCUUUAAAAUGUUAUGGUGUACCUGCUUGUUUUGAUAGAGUUUGGAGUCAUCUUUGAAGUAGGGAAUGGUUUCUAUGUUAAGGUAGUAUUAAUUUAUGAGAGCUGUUAAGAUGUUAUAGAUUGGGUGAGCAGUCCUAAUGAUUGUGCUUGCAAAGAAAUGCAAGUUCCCAAACUUGUGGGCAAGCGGAGAUUCUCAUGAGGCCCCAUGUAACAAAGGCUCAAGUCAGGGUCAUGAGAGAUGUUGGCAGAAGUGCCUUAUCAGUGAGGUUCAGUGCUGUGUGAGCUCCCUUUGUCCUCUCUGAUUUCCUUCUGGACCACAGAGCACUCGCUGGCUGCUGCUCUUCAGGUGCCAGUUUAAAUUACAGAAAAUCAACAAUAGCAGAGGGGAGUCCCUUUCACACAGAAGUACUUGCACUGGGUUAUGCAAGGCUGGAGUUUGUGUGGGAGGGGAAGUGGUUUGUGCAGCUCAAAUGGGGAUGGGGAGGCUUUCACAUGUGGCUCACAGCUCACUAGUGGCUCCUAGGAUUGAAAGCUCCUUCCUGGUACAUAUGAGUCACUGUACCUGGAGGGAUUAAGAUGUGUGGAUGUGGCAUUUGGGGACAUGGUUCAUCAGUGCACUUGGCAGAGUUAACAAUUGGACUCGAUGAUCUUAAAGGUCUUUUACAACCUAACUAAUUAUACAGUUCUAUAUUUCCUGUUAGUAGCUCCAUCUACUGAGUGGCUGGAGUAUUUCUGAUUGCUGCUUUUUUCCGUACAGCAAUUUUUGUCUGGUUUCUUAAGAAAUUGAAGCUUGUGUUGAGCACACUUUGUCUUGCUCUUCUCCUUCCUCUGCACCCCUGCACCCCCAAUAUUAAACUUUUAAAAUGAAA